AGGAUAAACGCUGGCGGCGUGCAUGAGACAUGCAAGUCAAACGGACGAUCAGGGCUUGCUCUGGUCGUUAGUGGCGGACGGCUGAGUAACGCGUGGGUGACCUGCCCCGAAGUGGGGAAUAACUGCCCGAAAGGGUGGCUAAUACCGCAUGUGGUGGUGCGUUCAUUCGCACCAGUAAAGCCGCAAGGCGCUUCGGGAGGGGCCUGCGUCCGAUUAGCUCGUUGGUGGGGUAACGGCUCACCAAGGCGACGAUCGGUAGGUGGUCUGAGAGGACGAUCACCCAGAUUGGGGACUGAGACACGGCCCAGACUCCUACGGGAGGCAGCAGUCGGGAAUUUUGCUCAAUGGACGAAAGUCUGAAGCAGCAACGCCGCGUGAGGGAUGAAGGCCUUCGGGUUGUAACCUCUUUUAUCAGGGACGAUAAUGACGGUACCUGAUGAAUAAGUCACGGCUAACUACGUCGCCAGCAGCCGC
rnacentral:rRNA from 1 species